rnacentral:rRNA from 1 species
UACGUAGGGUGCGAGCGUUGUCCGGAAUUACUGGGCGUAAAGAGCUCGUAGGUGGUUUGUCGCGUUGUCCGUGAAAACUCACAACUCAAUUGUGGGCGUGCGGGCGAUACGGGCAGACUGGAGUACUGCAGGGGAGACUGGAAUUCCUGGUGUAGCGGUGGAAUGCGCAGAUAUCAGGAGGAACACCUAUUGCGAAGGCAGCUCGCUGGGACGGUACUGACGCUGAGACGCGAAAGCGUGGGGAGCGAACAGG